rnacentral:rRNA from 1 species
UGGGGAAUAUUGCACAAUGGGCGCAAGCCUGAUGCAGCCAUGCCGCGUGUAUGAAGAAGGCCUUCGGGUUGUAAAGUACUUUCAGCGGGGAGGAAGGGAGUAAAGUUAAUACCUUUGCUCAUUGACGUUACCGACAGAAGAAGCACCGGCUAACUCCGUGCCAGCAGCCGCGGUAAUACGGAGGGUGCAAGCGUUAAUCGGAAUUACUGGGCGUAAAGCGCACGCAGGCGGUUGAUUGAGUCAGAUGUGAAAUCCCCGGGCUUAACCCGGGAAUUGCAUCUGAUACUGGUCAGCUAGAGUCUUGUAGAGGGGGGUAGAAUUCCAUGUGUAGCGAUGAAAUGCGUAGAGAUGUGGAGGAAUACCGGUGGCGAAGGCGGCCCCCUGGAAAAAGACUGACGAUCAGGUGCGAAAGCGUGGGGAGCAAACGGG